UGGAUUGUAAACUGCUUUUAUACGAGAAGAAACACUGCUUCGUGAAGCAGCUUGACGGUAUCGUAAGAAUAAGGAUCGGCUAACUCCGUGCCAGCAGCCGCGGUAAUACGGAGGAUCCAAGCGUUAUCCGGAAUCAUUGGGUUUAAAGGGUCCGUAGGCGGUUUAAUAAGUCAGUGGUGAAAGCCCAUCGCUCAACGGUGGAACGGCCAUUGAUACUGUUAAACUUGAAUUAUUAGGAAGUAACUAGAAUAUGUAGUGUAGCGGUGAAAUGCUUAGAGAUUACAUGGAAUACCAAUUGCGAAGGCAGGUUACUACUAAUGGAUUGACGCUGAUGGACGAAAGCGUGGGUAGCGAACAGGAUUAGAUACCCUGGUAGUCCACGCCGUAAACGAUGGAUACUAGCUGUUGGAAGCAAUUUCAGUGGCUAAGCGAAAGUGA
rnacentral:rRNA from 1 species